ensembl:lncRNA
UGUCAACCACCAUUAAUGAGCAGACUUCAAAUUCUGAAGUUGUUAUUUGAAUGAAUUAAAAGAGGAUGAUUUCUACUGUAUCUACUCCCCUUUCCCAUAUCUGUUUCAGUGUACCCAGGCAGUGAUCUUAUUAGUGUCAGUGAUCUUAUUAGUGUCAGUGAUCUUAUUAGUGAUAGUGAUCUUAUUAGUGAUAGUGUACCCAGUGAUCUUAUUAGUGUCAGUGAUCUUAUUAGUGAUAGUGAUCUUAUUAGUGAUAGUGAUCUUAUUAGUUGUCAGUGAUCUUAUUAGUGAUAGUGAUCUUAUUAUGAUCAGUGAUCUUAUUAGUGAUAGUGAUCGUAUUAGUGAUCUUAUUAGUGAUAGUGAUCUUAUUAGUGUCAGUGAUCUUAUUAGUGAUAGUGAUCUUAUUAGUGAUAGUGAUCUUAUUAGUGAUCAGUGAUCUUAUUAGUGAUAGUGAUCUUAUUAGUGAUCUUAUUAGUGAUAGUGAUCUUAUUAGUGAUCUUAUUAGUGAUAGUGUACCCAGUGAUCUUAUUAGUGUCAGUGAUCUUAUUAUUAUUAGUGAUCUUAUUAGUGAUGAUAGUGUCGCCAGUGAUCUUAUUAGUGAUAGUGAUCUUAUUAGUGAUAGUGAUCUUAUUAGUGAUAGUGUACCCAGUGAUCUUAUUAGUGUCAGUGAUCUUAUUAGUGAUAGUGAUCUUAUUAGUGAUCAGUGAUCUUAUUAGUGAUAGUGAUCUUAUUAGUGAUAGUGUACCCAGUGCAGUGAUCUUAUUAGUGUACCCAGGCAUUCAACAAUUAGAACAAAGUGGAUAUAUAGGUUGUUUUUUAGUAGACGUCAAACACCUUGUGAGGAGACAGAGAGAGAGCCCACUGACUCGUGUGCAUCCCACAGGUAUCUACAUGACGUGCACGUUAACAAGCCCCCCUGACGGCAUCUGUCACUUUCCCAAAUCAUAGUACUCAA